ensembl:lncRNA
CCCACAUCCACGCUCACGCAGAAACGCACAUCCAAGUGAUGUACACACAUACACACACAUUCCACCGGUGACUCUGUAGUCAUCGCCUUGCUUCCAGACACCGACGUGCUUUUGGAUUUAGCAGCCGGUGCCUCCUCUCAGCGAUGGUGUAAGGAGCUGCCAGAGGCAACUGGAGUUAAUGUGAGACCACUUAUACUGAGAUGUUAGUCCCUUCCAAUUAGCAUCAACUCUACAAGGAUGGGGAUUUAAAGGAGUGUUAGGUGUUCUACAAUAAACGGGACUAACUGACAGAAGAACCUAAGGCAUCGUGAUUUUAUUUUGGUGACCACGAUUCAGAAUCAGGACAAGAAACCUGUUCCUGGUUCAUGUCAUCUUAGCAACUUUGCUAUUAAAAAGCACCAAUAGCUCCAAGGAGCUGAUUCAAAUUCAGACUUCAGCAUCAGCUAGUGACAGCAUCAUCUUAUAUGUCCACUCUUUAUGCUGAAUACACUUAUUUGUUUUAAUACUGGAGUAAAUUUGCAAUAACUCCAGUUGAUAAAGUACAGAGGCUAAACUACCAUAUGAUGUACAGUCAGCAAAACCUGCAGCUGUUCUGUUAAGAAAGACAAAAAAAUCUAAUGAAUUUUCUAAUUAUGUAAUUGGUUUCAUUAUACAUAUAUGUGCAUGUAUAUAUACAGGGGUGCACAUAAGUGGUCCGCAGGUGCGCAU